UACGUAGGGUGCGAGCGUUGUCCGGAUUUAUUGGGCGUAAAGAGCUCGUAGGCGGUUUGUCGCGUCGAAUGUGAAAACCCGGGGCUCAACCCCGGGCCUGCAUUCGAUACGGGCAGACUAGAGUUCGGUAGGGGAGUCUGGAAUUCCUGGUGUAGCGGUGAAAUGCGCAGAUAUCAGGAGGAACACCGGUGGCGAAGGCGGGACUCUGGGCCGAUACUGACGCUGAGGAGCGAAAGCGUGGGGAGCAAACAGG
rnacentral:rRNA from 1 species